GACGAACGCUGGCGGCGUGCUUAACACAUGCCAGUCGAACGGAAAGGCCUGCUUUCCCUUGUGGAUUGCGGGCACUCGAGUGGCGAACGGGUGAGUAACACGUGAGUGAUCUGCCCCCAACUUGGGUAUAAGCCUGGGAAACUGGGUCUAAUUCCCGGUAGGACUGCAGGGUGGUGCCUGUGGUGGAAAACGGUCUUCUAGUGGUUGGGGAUGAGCUCGCGGCCUAUCAGCUUGUUGGUGGGGGAAUCGGCUAUCAAUGCAGCGACGGGUAGCCCGGCUGUGGGGGUGGUCGGCAGAAUUGGGACUGAGUCGCGGCCAUGACUCCUACGGGAGGUAGCAGUGGGGAAUGUUGGAGCAGGGGAGGAAGCCUGAUGAAGCGACGCUGCGUGGGUAAUGACGGCCUUCGGGUUGUAACCAUCUUUCGACGGCGAGGAAGCAAACUGGUUGGAAGGGUGGUGACGGUAGUGGGAGAAGAAGCUCCGGCUAACUACGUG
rnacentral:rRNA from 1 species